rnacentral:misc_RNA from 1 species
UCUCCGUUGGUGAACCAGCGGAGGGAUCAUUACAGGACUCGCAAGACUCCUAUAACCCUGUGAACUUACUACAAAGCACGUUGCUUCGGCGGGUGUCUCCGGGUGUUUUUCCCCUCGGAAGCGCUAAGCCCGCCGGCAGCCUACUAAAUUCUGUCUCUUUGCGUUGGCAUCUCGAGUACAAACAAAUAAGUUAAAACUUUCAACAACGGAUCUCUUGGUUCUG